GAUGAACGCUGGCGGCGUGCCUAAUACAUGCAAGUCGAGCGAACGGACGAGAAGCUUGCUUCUCUGAUGUUAGCGGCGGACGGGUGAGUAACACGUGGAUAACCUACCUAUAAGACUGGGAUAACUUCGGGAAACCGGAGCUAAUACCGGAUGAUAUUUUGAACCGCAUGGUUCAAAAGUGAAAGACGGUCUUGCUGUCACUUAUAGAUGGAUCCGCGCUACAUUAGCUAGUUGGUAAGGUAACGGCUUACCAAGGCAACGAUGCAUAGCCGACCUGAGAGGGGGGUCGGCGACACUGGAGGUGAGACGCGGUCCAGACGCCUACGGGAGGCAGCAGUAGGGAAUAUUACGCAAUGGGCGAAAGCAUGACGGAGCAGCGCCGCGUGAGUGAUGAUGGUGUUCGGAGCGUAAAGAUCUGUUAUUGGUGAAGAACAUAUGUGUAAGUAACUGUGGACAUCUUGACGGUACCUGAUCAAGAAGCCACGGCUAACUACGUG
rnacentral:rRNA from 1 species